rnacentral:rRNA from 1 species
UACGAAGGGGGCUAGCGUUGCUCGGAAUCACUGGGCGUAAAGGGUGCGUAGGCGGGUCUUUAAGUCAGGGGUGAAAUCCUGGAGCUCAACUCCAGAACUGCCUUUGAUACUGAGGAUCUUGAGUUCGGGAGAGGUGAGUGGAACUGCGAGUGUAGAGGUGAAAUUCGUAGAUAUUCGGAAGAACACCAGUGGCGAAGGCGGCUUACUGGUCCGGUUCUGACGCUGAGGCGCGAAAGCGUGGGGAGCAAACAGG